ACUCCUACGGGAGGCAGCAGUGGGGAAUAUUGGACAAUGGGGGAAACCCUGAUCCAGCCAUGCCGCGUGUGUGAAGAAGGCCUUCGGGUUGUAAAGCACUUUCAGUGGGGAGGAAAGGUUGUUGGUUAAUACCUAACAGCUGUGACGUUACCCACAGAAGAAGCACCGGCUAACUCCGUGCCAGCAGCCGCGGUAAUACGGAGGGUGCAAGCGUUAAUCGGAAUUACUGGGCGUAAAGCGCGCGUAGGCGGCUUGAUAAGCCGGUUGUGAAAGCCCCGGGCUGCAACCUGGGAAGCGCAUCCGGAACUGUCAGGCUAGAGUGCAGG
rnacentral:rRNA from 1 species